rnacentral:lncRNA from 1 species
GGGAGCUUUAAAACCAUUUGUGACUGACACAUUAUUGCUUUCCAGGAAGUGGUAGGGAUGACAAAAAAGCAUAUUCCAACAGGGCUUUGGAGAGGAUAAAGUCCAAGAAGUACUGAAACCAAGAGUCACUUAAAUUUUUAAGAAUCUUCAUUUUAAAGAUAAGUAGUAGUCCACAUAGGAAUGCAUGGUAUUCAAUGAUGAUUUCCUACAUUUAUUCAAGGGAUAGGAACAUGCUAUUGUGAUCAGAAAGAAAAAUCAAACAAAAAGAAGAGGCCAAAGGAAAGGAUAUGGUCAGAAAAAAAAAUCAAACAAAAAGAAGAAGGUGAUAAAGGAAAACAGACGAUAGUGGUUCCUAUCAAGAUCUUAGAGAAAGAGAACAUUAAGGUGAUUGCAGAUGAGAGUGUAGGUGUAAGGACAGGAAACUGAGGUUAUAUACACAUGAUGUCUUCACAACUUCUCACAGAUAAAUUUCUUAUUAAUGUACUAGGUUUUAGAGUGAGAGUUCUGAAGACUUUGAUAAAAAUCUACCUUCUUAGAAGACUGGAAGUGUUGACCAGGACCACGUAAAGAUAUUGACAGAUGACAGUGAAGACACAGAUAGAAAAGAAACUUGUUCUGUGAUGCCAAUCCAUACAAAAAUAUACUUUUUUCUCAACUGGUUUUCUAUAUGAGAGAGAGAGAAAGUUAAAUUUUAGGAUCUCUUGAAGAUCAGAAAUUUUGAGAAAGAGAGAAUCAAUGAAAUUCAGAAUUUGGUGGAGUUGGUAAAAGAUUCAGAUGAUUAAAUGUUAGACAAGGCUAUCUAACAGUAAAUUAUUGUCCCAGUGAGAAAAAAGGGUGAUACCAAUCAGAAUGUGGUCAAGUAAAGUACCAGAAUUAUUGAUAUAAAAAAAAUUAAUGUGAGUGAUGAAGUGGAAUAUUAGUGAUUGUAGUCAAAGAACAAAGUUCAGAUUUUAGAGAUGGAGAAGCCAAUAGCCACUAUGGGGAAAGGGUUGGAAAAGAUUAGAAGUGGAGGCCAUUGGUUGAGACGCCUAUGGAACAGAUGAGGCUAGGCAGCUGUAUGUGUUAUCAUCAGGGAUGGAAAAAUCUCAGGAUAAUGACAGGAGUGGGGCGGAAAGAAAUCCUAUCAACCUGGAACCUAAGCAAUUUGAUGACUGAGAGGGGAUGACAUAGGUAUUAGGAUAUAACCGGGGAGCAGAUGUCAAAGUAGAUUGGUUAAAGUUGACUCCAAGGAAAUAAAAGCUAUUUAACAGGAGGGUAGAUAAAUAGGGCAUCAGUUUCCUAGAGUGGUGUUUCAGCUAUUAUUGUGUUGCUUAUUCUCUAGGGAGACAAAUUGGAGUGAUAUCCAACUAAUCAGAAGCUGGAUGUAGCUGAAGGACUUCUUGUUCUAAUUUAUCUGGCUGUGUCUUCACUGAGCGGAAGUAUGCUGACUGUUUUACAUGUGGUAGCUACAAAAAUCUCAUAAAAUGUAGAGCAGGAUGCCUAGAGGAAACUGAGGCUGAGAAAGAUGCAAUAACUUGCUGAAUAUCACAGAAACAAUACGUGAUUCAAAGACUCACAUACAGCCCUCUUCAUGAUUGCAGAAUCUCAACUUUCAACUAUACUGAUUCUCCACAAUGAUGCAUUUCUCGUUGAAGAAGAUAUGGUGGUUGAAGUUACAAGGACUCCUUGUUGUAACCAGGAGCCGAUCUUGAUCAAUGGAGCUACAUAAAGCAUGUUGAAAUGCAAAGAAAGAUAGAAGGAGCCUGUGGUACUGAAAACAUUGAGGAUUCUCUGAACCAGCCUUGGCUACCCCACCAUUUAACUUGAGAAAAAAUAUUUCUUUCCUCUUUAAGCUCUUCUUCUACCAAAUGUAUCAGGAAAUAAAAAUAUAUUAAAUUAAAA